rnacentral:rRNA from 1 species
AAGGAAAGCGGGAGGCAGGCCUAACACAUGCAAGUCGAGCGGAUGAAGGGAGCUUGCUCCUGGAUUCAGCGGCGGACGGGUGAGUAAUGCCUAGGAAUCUGCCUGGUAGUGGGGGAUAACGUCCGGAAACGGGCGCUAAUACCGCAUACGUCCUGAGGGAGAAAGUGGGGGAUCUUCGGACCUCACGCUAUCAGAUGAGCCUAGGUCGGAUUAGCUAGUUGGUGGGGUAAAGGCCUACCAAGGCGACGAUCCGUAACUGGUCUGAGAGGAUGAUCAGUCACACUGGAACUGAGACACGGUCCAGACUCCUACGGGAGGCAGCAGUGGGGAAUAUUGGACAAUGGGCGAAAGCCUGAUCCAGCCAUGCCGCGUGUGUGAAGAAGGUCUUCGGAUUGUAAAGCACUUUAAGUUGGGAGGAAGGGCAGUAAGUUAAUACCUUGCUGUUUUGACGUUACCAACAGAAUAAGCACCGGCUAACUUCGUG